rnacentral:rRNA from 1 species
UACGGGAGGGGCAAGCGUUAUUCAUCAUAAGCGGGCGUAAAGGGUGAGUAGGCGAUGGUAGAUAAUUACUAAGAAAUAACAAAAAUACACUUUGUUGCUUAUAUAUUAGAAACUAGUUGAUAGAGAUUAUGAGAUGAAGCUAGAAUUACUAAUGGAAAGGUAAAAUCUAUUGAUAUUAGUACGAAUGCCAAAGGCGAAGGCAAAACUUCAUUCCAGUCUAACGCUGAGGUGCUAAAGCUUGGGAAUCAAACGGG